ensembl:lncRNA
CCCUUAUGCUUCCGGCAAAUAUGUCCUCAACAAAGGUUUAUCUUCGCUAUGUAGUACUCAAUUUCAUUGAGCAAAAAUGAGGUUGAGGUGGCACCAUCUUCAUGGCUCGAAAAAGAUCGAUGGGGUACUGUUCUGCUAUUGGCCCAAUUCAAAUGUUGGGACCAAAGUCAUAAAAUGUGCCAUUCCAGACAAACAUCUCUGGACAAAAUAUGCCGUCAGAGUAUUUUCUGACACAGACAGUUACAACCUAGCAAGGUAUCGGGUCCAAAAAGCAGUUGAAACUUCCCAUGUUGAGGACUCGGAUGGAAAUAGUUCACGAAAAAUUAUACCACCAAGAAGAUUUAGAGAAGAAGAACUUCGGGCGCCCAUACCUAGAAAGACACCACAGACAAAACGCUUUCUUGAAGAAAGUGAAUCAUCCCAAGAUGAGAUUUUCAGUUUGAAAGCAAAGAAAAUUAACAAACGGCCAAGAUCAACAGCAAUUGCAUCUACGUCUGGGGAGCCUGAUGAAGGUAAAGUCACUAUGAUUUACUUUCAUUUGUUUGCUAUAGUCUGA